rnacentral:rRNA from 1 species
UCGUCUCAAAGAUUAAGCCAUGCAUGUGUAAGUAUAAAUAUUCUACUUUGAAACUGCGAAUGGCUCAUUAUAUCAGUUAUAGUUUAUUUGAUGAAAUGUACUACUUGGAUAUCCGUAGUAAUUCUAGAGCUAAUACAUGAUCAUCUCCUCGACUUUGAAGAGGUGUAUUUAUUAGAAUGAAAACCAAUAGACUUUGUCUGUUUGUGAGUAAUAAUAACUUGUCAUAUCGCAUGCUUAUGUAGCGAUGUGUCUUUUAAGUUUCUGCUCUAUCAGCUUUCGAUGGUAGUGUAUUGGACUACCAUGGCAGUAACGGGUAACGAAGAAUUUGGGUUCGAUUUCGGAGAGGGAGCCUGAGAGAUGGCUACCACAUCCAAGGAAGGCAGCAGGCGCGUAAAUUACCCAAUCCUGACAUAGGGAGGUAGUGACAAUAAAUCACAAUGCGGGACUAUUUAGUUUUGCAAUUGGAUUGAGAACAAUGUACAAGAGUUAUCGAUAAACAAUUGGAGGGCAAGUCUGGUGCCAGCAGCCGCGGUA